AACCUCCGCAAUGUGAGAAAUCGCGACGGGGGGAUCCCAAGUGCCAUUCUUAACGGGAUGGCUUUUCAUUAGUGUAAAGAGCUUUUGGAAUAAGGGCUGGGCAAGACCGGUGCCAGCCGCCGCGGUAACACCGACAGCUCUAGUGGUAGCAGUUUUUAUUGGGCCUAAAGCGUCCGUAGCCGGUUUAAUAAGUCUCUGGUGAAAUCCUGUAGCUUAACUGUGGGAAUUGCUGGAGAUACUAUUAGACUUGAGACCGGGAGAGGUUAGAGGUACUCCCAGGGUAGAGGUGAAAUUCUGUAAUCCUGGGAGGACCGCCCGUUGCGAAGGCGUCUAACUGGAACGGUUCUGACGGUGAGGGACGAAAGUUAGGGGCGCGAACCGGAUUAGAUACCCGGGUAGUCCUAACUGUAAACGAUGCGGACUUGGUGUUGGGUGGCUUUGAGCUGCUCCAGUGCCGAAGGGAAGCUGUUAAGUCCGCCGCCUGGGAAGUCGGUCGCAAGACUGAAACUUAAAGGAAUU
rnacentral:rRNA from 1 species